rnacentral:rRNA from 1 species
CUAAUACAUGCAAGUCGAACGAACGGAGGAAGAGCUUGCUCUUCCAAAGUUAGUGGCGGACGGGUGAGUAACACGUGGGCAACCUGCCUGUAAGUUGGGGAUAACUCCGGGAAACCGGGGCUAAUACCGAAUGAUAAAGUGUGGCGCAUGCCACGCUUUUGAAAGAUGGUUUCGGCUAUCGCUUACAGAUGGGCCCGCGGUGCAUUAGCUAGUUGGUAGGGUAAUGGCCUACCAAGGCAACGAUGCAUAGCCGACCUGAGAGGGUGAUCGGCC